GACGAACGCUGGCGGCGUGCCUAAAACAUGCAAGUCGAACGAGGUCCAUCUGACCGUAAGGUCAGGGAAGACCUAGUGGCGAACGGGUGAGUAACACGUGAGGAACCUGCCCCGAAGUCUGGGAUAAGCUGGGGAAACCUGGUCUAAUACCGGAUCCCCUCUACGGAUCGCAUGGUCUGUUGAGGAAAGAAUUUCGCUUCGGGAGGGCCUCGCGGCCUAUCAGCUAGUUGGUGGGGUAACGGCCCACCAAGGCAUCGACGGGUAGCUGGUCUGAGAGGACGAUCAGCCACACUGGGACUGAGACACGGCCCAGACUCCUACGGGAGGCAGCAGUUAGGAAUCUUGCGCAAUGGGCGAAAGCCUGACGCAGCAACGCCGCGUGCGGGAGGAAGGCCCUCGGGUUGUAAACCGCUUUCAGUAGGGACGAAAUCAGACGGUACCUACAGAAGAAGCCCCGGCCAACUACGUGCCAGCAGCCGCAGU
rnacentral:rRNA from 1 species